GAGGAAUAUUGCGCAAUGGAGGAAACUCUGACGCAGCAACGCCGCGUGAGUGAAGAAGGCCCUCGGGUUGUAAAGCUCUGUCAGGUGGGAAGAACCCUCUGUAGUUGAAUAGGCUACAGAACUGACGGUACCACCAAAGGAAGCACCGGCUAACUCCGUGCCAGCAGCCGCGGUAAGACGGAGGGUGCAAGCGUUGUUCGGAAUCACUGGGCGUAAAGCGCGUGUAGGCGGCUUGACAAGUCGAAUGUGAAAGCCCGGGGCUCAACCUCGGAAGUGCAUUCGAAACUGUCAGGCUUGAGUACGGGAGAGGGAAGUGGAAUUCCUGGUGUAGAGGUGAAAUUCGUAGAUAUCAGGAGGAACACCGGUGGCGAAGGCGGCUUCCUGGACCGAUACUGACGCUGAGACGCGAAAGCGUGGGGAGCAAAC
rnacentral:rRNA from 1 species